UGGGGAAUAUUGCGCAAUGGGCGAAAGCCUGACGCAGCGACGCCGCGUGAGGGACGACGGCCUUCGGGUUGUAAACCUCUUUCAGCAGGGACGAAGGGAAACUGACUGUACCUGCAGAAGAAGCACCGGCUAACUACGUGCCAGCAGCCGCGGUAAUACGUAGGGUGCAAGCGUUGUCCGGAUUUAUUGGGCGUAAAGAGCUCGUAGGCGGCCUGUCACGUCGGAUGUGAAAACCCGGGGCUCAACCCCGGGCCUGCAUUCGAUACGGGCAGGCUAGAGGAUGGCAGGGGAGACUGGAACUCCUGGUGUAGCGGUGAAAUGCGCAGAUAUCAGGAAGAACACCGGUGGCGAAGGCGGGUCUCUGGGCCAUUCCUGACGCUGAGGAGCGAAAGCGUGGGGA
rnacentral:rRNA from 1 species